CCGGCGACCGGCGCACGGGUGAGUAACACGUAUGCAAUCCACCUGUAACAGGGGGAUAACCCGGAGAAAUCCGGACUAAUACCCCAUAAUAUCAUAGAAGGCAUCUUUUAUGGUUGAAAAUUCCGAUGGUUAGAGAUGGGCAUGCGUUGUAUUAGCUAGUUGGUGGGGUAACGGCUCACCAAGGCGACGAUACAUAGGGGGACUGAGAGGUUAACCCCCCACACUGGUACUGAGACACGGACCAG
rnacentral:rRNA from 1 species